UUCCGACGCUUGUUGUAGCUUAGUAACCAUUUCACAUUGUUUAUUUAUUCCCUAAAAAAAUGUCACGAAACGUAAAAAUCUGGAAAAAACAAAUUCCUUGACGUAAUUCUCCACUGCACAAUUUGACUGGAAUGUCCUAUCUGCACAAAGGAAACUAAUACGCAAUGUUUCAGUAGUCGGAUAAGAAUAUGGCUGAGGUACUCCGGCUUAAGUAACACGGACAUAUGCACCCAGCAGUAUAUUUUCAGCUAUAUUUUACAACAUGGAUCUACGUUGAGCUGCGUUUACGAGAGGUAAUAAAUGCAAGUCGCUUUCUUCGAAAAUCAGACUCGGAAAGCGGAUCUCAACAUGCGCCAUGCAUGGGGGGGCAGAACGUGCGGCACAGUUACCUGCAUCAAUUCCUUGGUAUUAUGUACUCCACGGGUGCUUUAAGCUAAGCUUAGAAUUGAUGACUUUUCAUAAGCACAAAAAAUGAUGACCAUAAGUUAGCAGAGAAAUGCUAUGCAUAGGUGACAAAUAUGACUAACCAGGCAUUUUAUAAAAAUCUUUAUUUAAAAAAAAAUAGAUGUA